UCCGAUAUGGUCUAGUGGCUAGGAUUCCUGGUUUUCACCCAGGCGGCCCGGGUUCAAUUCCCGGUAUCGGAG